CUGGGUUUGGCCUUACGACAUGAAAAGAUAGGUUGUAUGUAACUAGAAAUUCGUAUGAAAAAUGUUGCCAUGUAUGGGCCAAAACAAUUUGCUCCAACUCAGUAUGCAGGGAAAGAUUCAAGGAAAAUGAAGCAUAGGGAGAUGCUAUACGCUGUACGGAUGUACAUCAAACGAACUUUUCAGAGCAGCCGUCUCCAAAGUCCUAAUAGCUAUAGUUCGUCCGCUACAACUUUUCCCAUGUGUCACGAUUCAUUUUCAAACAAAUUAAGUCAAAACAUAAAGUGAAACGUACGCCGAUGUGUGUAGUAUAUAAUAUACAGUAUACAAAAUGUAUAUACACAUCGACAUUCGUUGUCUUAAACAAGAAUCUACAGGUCGAGCAAGUCUCGUAAAUUUCACGAUUGCGAGCCACGCUUCACGCAACCGUGUUUGCGUACUUGUGUUUCGAGUUGCGUGGUCGUGCGGAGUUAUAUUUACCAAAUUUAAAUGUAAUCGUUUCUACUGUCUACUGAUAAUAAUAUACUAUUCUCAAUAUGGCUACUGGGUGUAAAAGAUAAAUCUUAUUCUAUCUGUUCUUCAUGAGUUUUAGAUAAUUUUAGUUGUAUUUCUUUGUAAUUUUGUGUUGUACAAAGAUUAAUUUAACAUUUUCUCUGGAAGUAUUAAUUUAGAAAGAUAAUAUGCUUCAUUGGUGUUGUGUUUUGAAGUGUGAAAUGCAAAGUAAUUGUGAUAAAGUCAAGAUAAAGUUCACUUUUAAACUGAACUAAAUAGGUAUCUGAGAGACAACAAUGGUUAAAUGCAAUACAAUGUACAGGUUUUACUAGCGAAAUGAAAAUUUUCCUGUCCUGUCUGCUGUAAUCAUUUUAUAUCUGGUAAGUUACAAUUACAACAGUAACGAUUUUUGAAGAUGUUAACAUUUUAAUCUUAUAGGAAAAUAGGAAAACCAGCCGACUUAAUCGAUAAUAACAAUCUCCAGAUUGGGUUCCUUCAAUAAAUAUGGGCUAUAAACACAAUGAAAUAAGUUCCCCAAAAUCUAAAAUGGAGUGGUAUCAAAGGAGAAUUAAAGGAAAAAAUAUUCAUAUUGAAAUUAUUUAUAAGGCACUGGGCUGUCUUAAAUUCUACAAUAAUACUAGAAUCAGCUGAGAGAAGUGGUCUACAAAAAACCAGGAAGGAAACGGAAUAUGUGGCUACGAAAGGCAAAAGAAAGGUUUACAAAGCAAAUGUGACACAUUUUUUUGAAAUAUUUAGGAAUAUCAGUAAAUUGCAUUAAAAAAUGUAUGAAAAGAUUUUGUUCAAUAAAAAUGUUUAUAUUUA